rnacentral:tRNA from 1 species
AUUUAUAUAGUUUAGAAUAAAAACAUUACACUUUCACUGUAAAGAUAAAGAAAACUUUUAUAAAUA